UACGGGGGGGGCAAGCGUUGUUCGGAAUUACUGGGCGUAAAGGGCUCGUAGGUGGCCAACUAAGUCGGACGUGAAAUCCCUCGGCCUAACCGGGGAACUGCGUCCGAUACUGGUUGGCUUGAGUUUGGGAGAGGGAUGCGGAAUUCCAGGUGUAGCGGUGAAAUGCGUAGAUAUCUGGAGGAACACCGGUGGCGAAGGCGGCAUCCUGGACCAAUACUGACGCUGAGGAGCGAAAGCCAGGGGAGCAAACGGG
rnacentral:rRNA from 1 species